rnacentral:rRNA from 1 species
UUACUCACUCAUUCUCCCAAUGACAAGUACCAGUUCCCAGGAAUCAUUGACGUUAAGCAACGUUACGCGUGGUUGGUAUUCGGAUGGGUGACCAUCUGGACAACCGCGUACUGACUUUU